AACCGACUCAGGAGCUAUGAACCCCGUGGCGCGAUGUCGUGCGGCUCGCCUAUGCCGCGGGGGGAGCGAAUCGCGAAACCGGCUGAGUGGGGC
rfam:Gemmatimonadetes bacterium 13_1_40CM_4_69_8 13_1_40cm_4_scaffold_15, whole genome shotgun sequence.